rnacentral:rRNA from 1 species
AACGAACGCUGGCGGCAGGCCUAACACAUGCAAGUCGAACGCCCUAGCAAUAGGGAGUGGCAGACGGGUGAGUAACGCGUGGGAACAUGCCCUUUGGUUCGGAAUAACUCAGGGAAACUUGAGCUAAUACCGGAUACGCCCUUAGGGGGAAAGAUUUAUUGCCGAAGGAUUGGCCCGCGUCCGAUUAGCUAGUUGGUGAGGUAACGGCUCACCAAGGCGACGAUCGGUAGCUGGUCUGAGAGGAUGAUCAGCCACACUGGGACUGAGACACGGCCCAGACUCCUACGGGAGGCAGCAGUGGGGAAUAUUGGACAAUGGGCGCAAGCCUGAUCCAGCCAUGCCGCGUGAGUGAUGAAGGCCCUAGGGUUGUAAAGCUCUUUCGCCAGGGACGAUAAUGACGGUACCUGGAUAAGAAGCCCCGGCUAACUUCGUGCCAGCCGCCGCCGUAAGAC